UUAAGCGACUAAGCGUACACGGUGGAUGCCCUGGCAGUCAGAGGCGAUGAAGGACGUGCUAAUCUGCGAUAAGCGUCGGUAAGGUGAUAUGAACCGUUAUAACCGGCGAUUUCCGAAUGGGGAAACCCAGUGUGUUUCGACACACUAUCAUUAACUGAAUCCAUAGGUUAAUGAGGCGAACCGGGGGAACUGAAACAUCUAAGUACCCCGAGGAAAAGAAAUCAACCGAGAUUCCCCAGUAGCGGCGAGCGAACGGGGAGCAGCCCAGAGCCUGAAUCAGUAUGUGUGUUAGUGGAAGCGUCUGGAAAGGCGCGCGAUACAGGGUGACAGCCCCGUACACAAAAAUGCACAUGCUGUGAGCUCGAUGAGUAGGGCGGGACACGUGGUAUCCUGUCUGAAUAUGGGGGGACCAUCCUCCAAGGCUAAAUACUCCUGACUGACCGAUAGUGAACCAGUACCGUGAGGGAAAGGCGAAAAGAACCCCGGCGAGGGGAGUGAAAAAGAACCUGAAACCGUGUACGUACAAGCAGUGGGAGCACGCUUAGGCGUGUGACUGCGUACCUUUUGUAUAAUGGGUCAGCGACUUAUAUUCUGUAGCAAGGUUAACCGAAUAGGGGAGCCGAAGGGAAACCGAGUCUUAACUGGGCGUUAAGUUGCAGGGUAUAGACCCGAAACCCGGUGAUCUAGCCAUGGGCAGGUUGAAGGUUGGGUAACACUAACUGGAGGACCGAACCGACUAAUGUUGAAAAAUUAGCGGAUGACUUGUGGCUGGGGGUGAAAGGCCAAUCAAACCGGGAGAUAGCUGGUUCUCCCCGAAAGCUAUUUAGGUAGCGCCUCGUGAAUUCAUCUCCGGGGGUAGAGCACUGUUUCGGCAAGGGGGUCAUCCCGACUUACCAACCCGAUGCAAACUGCGAAUACCGGAGAAUGUUAUCACGGGAGACACACGGCGGGUGCUAACGUCCGUCGUGAAGAGGGAAACAACCCAGACCGCCAGCUAAGGUCCCAAAGUCAUGGUUAAGUGGGAAACGAUGUGGGAAGGCCCAGACAGCCAGGAUGUUGGCUUAGAAGCAGCCAUCAUUUAAAGAAAGCGUAAUAGCUCACUGGUCGAGUCGGCCUGCGCGGAAGAUGUAACGGGGCUAAACCAUGCACCGAAGCUGCGGCAGCGACGCUUAUGCGUUGUUGGGUAGGGGAGCGUUCUGUAAGCCUGUGAAGGUGUGCUGUGAGGCAUGCUGGAGGUAUCAGAAGUGCGAAUGCUGACAUAAGUAACGAUAAAGCGGGUGAAAAGCCCGCUCGCCGGAAGACCAAGGGUUCCUGUCCAACGUUAAUCGGGGCAGGGUGAGUCGACCCCUAAGGCGAGGCCGAAAGGCGUAGUCGAUGGGAAACAGGUUAAUAUUCCUGUACUUGGUGUUACUGCGAAGGGGGGACGGAGAAGGCUAUGUUGGCCGGGCGACGGUUGUCCCGGUUUAAGCGUGUAGGCUGGUUUUCCAGGCAAAUCCGGAAAAUCAAGGCUGAGGCGUGAUGACGAGGCACUACGGUGCUGAAGCAACAAAUGCCCUGCUUCCAGGAAAAGCCUCUAAGCAUCAGGUAACAUCAAAUCGUACCCCAAACCGACACAGGUGGUCAGGUAGAGAAUACCAAGGCGCUUGAGAGAACUCGGGUGAAGGAACUAGGCAAAAUGGUGCCGUAACUUCGGGAGAAGGCACGCUGAUAUGUAGGUGAAGUCCCUCGCGGAUGGAGCUGAAAUCAGUCGAAGAUACCAACUGGCUGCAACUGUUUAUUAAAAACACAGCACUGUGCAAACACGAAAGUGGACGUAUACGGUGUGACGCCUGCCCGGUGCCGGAAGGUUAAUUGAUGGGGUUAGCGCAAGCGAAGCUCUUGAUCGAAGCCCCGGUAAACGGCGGCCGUAACUAUAACGGUCCUAAGGUAGCGAAAUUCCUUGUCGGGUAAGUUCCGACCUGCACGAAUGGCGUAAUGAUGGCCAGGCUGUCUCCACCCGAGACUCAGUGAAAUUGAACUCGCUGUGAAGAUGCAGUGUACCCGCGGCAAGACGGAAAGACCCCGUGAACCUUUACUAUAGCUUGACACUGAACAUUGAGCCUUGAUGUGUAGGAUAGGUGGGAGGCUUUGAAGUGUGGACGCCAGUCUGCAUGGAGCCGACCUUGAAAUACCACCCUUUAAUGUUUGAUGUUCUAACGUUGACCCGUAAUCCGGGUUGCGGACAGUGUCUGGUGGGUAGUUUGACUGGGGCGGUCUCCUCCUAAAGAGUAACGGAGGAGCACGAAGGUUGGCUAAUCCUGGUCGGACAUCAGGAGGUUAGUGCAAUGGCAUAAGCCAGCUUGACUGCGAGCGUGACGGCGCGAGCAGGUGCGAAAGCAGGUCAUAGUGAUCCGGUGGUUCUGAAUGGAAGGGCCAUCGCUCAACGGAUAAAAGGUACUCCGGGGAUAACAGGCUGAUACCGCCCAAGAGUUCAUAUCGACGGCGGUGUUUGGCACCUCGAUGUCGGCUCAUCACAUCCUGGGGCUGAAGUAGGUCCCAAGGGUAUGGCUGUUCGCCAUUUAAAGUGGUACGCGAGCUGGGUUUAGAACGUCGUGAGACAGUUCGGUCCCUAUCUGCCGUGGGCGCUGGAGAACUGAGGGGGGCUGCUCCUAGUACGAGAGGACCGGAGUGGACGCAUCACUGGUGUUCGGGUUGUCAUGCCAAUGGCACUGCCCGGUAGCUAAAUGCGGAAGAGAUAAGUGCUGAAAGCAUCUAAGCACGAAACUUGCCCCGAGAUGAGUUCUCCCUGACUCCUUGAGAGUCCUGAAGGAACGUUGAAGACGACGACGUUGAUAGGCCGGGUGUGUAAGCGCAGCGAUGCGUUGAGCUAACCGGUACUAAUGAACCGUGAGGCUUAACCUU
rnacentral:rRNA from 1 species